UACGAAGGGGGCUAGCGUUGCUCGGAUUUACUGGGCGUAAAGGGCGCGUAGGCGGCGUGACAAGUCACUUGUGAAAUCUCCGGGCUUAACCCGGAGCGGCCAAGUGAUACUGUCGUGCUAGAGUGCGGAAGGGGCUACUGGAAUUCUCGGUGUAGCGGUGAAAUGCGUAGAUAUCGAGAGGAACACCUGCGGCGAAGGCGGGUAGCUGGGCCGACACUGACGCUGAGGCGCGAAAGCCAGGGGAGCGAACGGG
rnacentral:rRNA from 1 species